CCUACGGGGGGCUGCAGUGGGGAAUAUUGGACAAUGGGGGGAACCCUGAUCCAGCCAUGCCGCGUGUGUGAAGAAGGCCCUCGGGUUGUAAAGCACUUUCAGUGAGGAAGAACGCCUGGUGGUUAAUACCCAUCAGGAAAGACAUCACUCACAGAAGAAGCACCGGCUAACUCCGUGCCAGCAGCCGCGGUAAUACGGAGGGUGCGAGCGUUAAUCGGAAUUACUGGGCGUAAAGCGCGCGUAGGUGGCUUGAUAAGCCGGUUGUGAAAGCCCCGGGCUCAACCUGGGAACGGCAUCCGGAACUGUCAAGCUAGAGUGCAGGAGAGGAAGGUAGAAUUCCCGGUGUAGCGGUGAAAUGCGUAGAGAUCGGGAGGAAUACCAGUGGCGAAGGCGGCCUUCUCGACGGAAACUGCCACUGAGGUGCGAAAGCGUGAGUAGCAAACAGGAUUAGAUACCCUUGUAGUA
rnacentral:rRNA from 1 species